CAGUAGCCGCGGGAACACGGAGGAUCCAAGCGUUAUCCGGAAUCAUUGGGUUUAAAGGGUCCGUAGGCGGUCUUGUAAGUCAGUGGUGAAAGCCCAUCGCUCAACGGUGGAACGGCCAUUGAUACUGCAGGACUUGAAUUAUUGGGAAGUAACUAGAAUAUGUAGUGUAGCGGUGAAAUGCUUAGAGAUUACAUGGAAUACCAAUUGCGAAGGCAGGUUACUACCAAUUGAUUGACGCUGAUGGACGAAAGCGUGGGUAGCGAACAGGAUUAGAUACCCGAGUAGUCCCUGUCUCUUAUAC
rnacentral:rRNA from 1 species